AUCAAUUGACCGUGACCAAAAAUGUUCUCUGAAACAAGAUGGAAUCCUUCGUAAAAUUUGUCGAAUUUGUAAAAAUUUAGAUUUUCAGAGGAAAUGUAUUUCGAAAUCGGAGACUUGCAUAUGCGUUUAGGUAAUAAGAUGAUUUUUAAUAAGAAUGAAAUAUUCUUUAUAAAGUGAUUCCCGUUUGUAAACCUUCUUGUAAACAUUGAAGCCUUGUUAGGAAAAUGUUUUUUUAAAUUGAGAAUUGUAUUUGCGUCUAAAUGCUAGGGGCGUUUUCUGAUAAGAAUAAAAUACCUUCUAAAAUUUCGUUUUUUAAAUUUCUUAAAUCUAUAACACUUGACAUUUCUUUAAAGUUGAAACAUAUUCAUAAAUUAUUUCGCGCUUUGAUUGAAUCAUCAGGAAAUAGCUAACUAGACCGACGAAAGUUUUAGAACAAAUAUGAAAUUUCGAAAUUUGAAAUGGAAAUAUGUAUUGCUUAUAUAAUUUCUUAUUUUAAGUAGUUUAUAACAAUUAAUAAAAACAAAUAUAAAUAUUUAUAUAAUAUUUUAUGUUUCGGAUAAACUGCGAAUAAGAUGGCGACUUAAGGUAUAGCAAGAGAUACUUAGUGAAAAUUUCUGGAUAAAUCUGAAAUUUUACCAAACUGGAAUUGGAAAUGUUCUCAAUGGAAAUACAGAAUAUUCACGAUUUGAUUAAUUUGUAAAAUGUGAAAUAAGGUUAUUUUCUUAUUUGGACAGUUGGAAUAACAAAUGAUACC